rnacentral:rRNA from 1 species
UAGGGAAUAUUGGACAAUGGGCGAAAGCCUGAUCCAGCAAUGCCGCGUGAGUGAUGAAGGCCUUAGGGUUGUAAAGCUCUUUUACCCGGGAUGAUAAUGACAGUACCGGGAGAAUAAGCUCCGGCUAACUCCGUGCCAGCAGCCGCGGUAAUACGGAGGGAGCUAGCGUUGUUCGGAAUUACUGGGCGUAAAGCGCACGUAGGCGGCUAUUCAAGUCAGAGGUGAAAGCCCGGGGCUCAACCCCGCAGCAUGCUUUGCAAUACUAGAUAGCUUGAAUCCAGGAGAGGUGAGUGGAAUUCCGAGUGUAGAGGUGAAAUUCGUAGAUAUUCGGAAGAACACCAGUGGCGAAGGCGGCUCACUGGACUUGGUAUUGACGCUGAGGUGCGAAAGCGUGGGGAGCAAAACA